CAAGAAGCAUUUAUUAUGUUGUUAUUUCUAAGUUUAGAUUCAAUAUUUUGCUUAGCCUGUAAGGCUUGUAUGCCUAUAAAUAGAUAUGUAUGCCUAUAAAUAGAUGUGUAAUCUAGUUGAUUUGCAUCAAGAUAUCUAGGCCAGAGAUUGCAAAGAAAUUAGUUCUUUUUCUCUUCCAAGAGUUUCUCUUUUUUUCCAUUCCAUCGAGC
rnacentral:lncRNA from 1 species